UACAGAGGUCUCAAGCGUUGUUCGGAUUCAUUGGGCGCAAAGGGUGCGUAGGUGGCGCCGUAAGUCGGGUGUGAAAUUUCGGAGCUUAACUCCGAAACUGCAUUCGAUACUGCGGUGCUUGAGGACUGGAGAGGAGACUGGAAUUCAUGGUGUAGCAGUGAAAUGCGUAGAGAUCAUGAGGAAGACCAGUGGCGAAGGCGGGUCUCUGGACAGUUCCUGACACUGAGGCACGAAGGCCAGGGGAGCAAACGGG
rnacentral:rRNA from 1 species